UCGAACGGCAGCACGGGUGCUUGCACCUGGUGGCGAGUGGCGAACGGGUGAGUAAUACAUCGGAACAUGUCCUGUAGUGGGGGAUAGCCCGGCGAAAGCCGGAUUAAUACCGCAUACGAUCUACGGAUGAAAGCGGGGGACCUUCGGGCCUCGCGCUAUAGGGUUGGCCGAUGGCUGAUUAGCUAGUUGGUGGGGUAAAGGCCUACCAAGGCGACGAUCAGUAGCUGGUCUGAGAGGACGACCAGCCACACUGGGACUGAGACACGGCCCAGACUCCUACGGGAGGCAGCAGUGGGGAAUUUUGGACAAUGGGCGAAAGCCUGAUCCAGCAAUGCCGCGUGUGUGAAGAAGGCCUUCGGGUUGUAAAGCACUUUUGUCCGGAAAGAAAUCCUUGGUUCUAAUAUAGCCGGGGGAUGACGGUACCGGAAGAAUAAGCACCGGCUGACUACGUGCCAGCAGCCGCGGUAAUACGUAGGGUGCGAGCGUUAAUCGGAAUUACUGGGCGUAAAGCGUGCGCAGGCGGUUUGCUAAGACCGAUGUGAAAUCCCCGGGCUCAACCUGGGAACUGCAUUGGUGACUGGCAGGCUAGAGUAUGGCAGAGGGGGGUAGAAUUCCACGUGUAGCAGUGAAAUGCGUAGAGAUGUGGAGGAAUACCGAUGGCGAAGGCAGCCCCCUGGGCCAAUACUGACGCUCAUGCACGAAAGCGUGGGGAGCAAACAGG
rnacentral:rRNA from 1 species